rnacentral:misc_RNA from 1 species
ACGAGUUAGGGUCUUUCAGGCCCGACCUCCCAACCCUAUGUUUAUUGAACCUCUGUUGCUUCGGCGGACCCGUCUCACGACCGCCGGAGGACCGCCGCGAGGCGUCCUCUGGCCAGUGUCCGCCGAGAGCCAACCACUUAACACUCUGAAUAAAUCAUGUCAUUAUGUCUAAGUCUAUGAUUAAAUUAAAGCA